ensembl:ncRNA lncRNA:CR44150 long non-coding RNA:CR44150
UGCGCCACAUAAAAGUAGAAAUAAUAAAACUUAAUCGUACGUACAUCAAAUUGAGCAUCAAAUGAAUUUGUACAGAAAAUCAAAUUUAAAUUGCGGGGGAAAUGCUUUAUGAAUGGGGGUUUUCCCCCUAGCCCUCUCAAACCCCCGUCAUUCCAUGUGCGUAAAGAGUUGAGUACACUCGCUUGUUGUCAUUCGAAAUUGGAAGUGUGAAUUGCUAAUGGAAAUUACUUUGGCCAAAUGACAGCUAACAAUGGCCGGGUAAUAACUGAAAGAUAUCUCUAAUCGAGCCACCACCUUUCGAUUAGCUGCACUCCAAUCAAGGCAGCUUAUCUGUUCGUGAUUGGCAUGAUUCCUGCCAGCGGGUGCCCACUGUAAUAAAUAGUGCCCGAAAUGGCACUCAAGUGUCGGCCACUUAAUAACGAAUUUCUGGCUGCCCGAACAAGUCGUAAAGAUGCAUCGCAGCUCGGAUUGUGGUCCCAUCGGAACUGCACUUUAAGAGAUGUUUGCAAAAAGAAAGUGAAAGAGCGCAAAGGUCAGCGGUGGGGGGAAAUUCAAUGUGAAAAGCGGCGAUGUCGUGCUGGGUUACAGCGUUUUCAGAAGGGCUUCCCAUCUGCAUUUUCCUCCUCCAUUCACUGACUAUUUAUUUGUUCUUAUUGUUUUUUUUUUUGCUGCUCUUCAUAACUGUUGCAUAUACAUAUAAAUGCGAACCAUUGCGUAUACUCAAUUAAUUGAGACAAAUUACCCAUACGCCGGGUGGGUGAAUGACUGUCGAGAGUUCAAUUCAGUUUGAAUUGAAGUGUUUUACUUUGGUUGUUAUUUUUUAUUGCAUUGUCUGGUUGCACCAACCGAAUAAAAAUGAAAAUUUCGCCAUAAUAACUUUAAUUUGCCCCAAUCGAUCCAAUGGCAAUUAUUAUUAGAUUUCGUUUCGUUUUGUUUGAUUCUGAUUCUGAUUUCUGCUCCCAUUCGGCAGCACCUUGAACCACAUUAUUCGCGAAAUUGCCCCCACGAUGAAUCUGCCGCUGGAGCAGGCAGUUCUCAAACUGUCGUGGCUUUCAAUCAAACAAUCAAAUUCGGCUCGCAGUAAGAUAUAUAAGACUAUCUGCUGUCUGAACUGGAGUCCCCGACUUGGGCACGCCAUCAUCAUCAUCAUCAUCAUCAUCCUCCCCCCGAAAUCGCCUAGGAGUUGGUUUCGGUCUUGACUCCGUUCAGGUUCUGUUCGGUAGGCAGGUAUAUACAAUAUAUACUCGUAUUUUUGUGCACGCCACUUUAUGUAAGCAUUAAAACUAGCGCCUGACGAGUACACAAGGUACACAGAAAG